AUCCUUCCAUUUCCUGAUUUGCUCAACCAGCCCUCUAUAUCCAUAUGUUCUAAAUCCAAGGAUUCAACCAAUGAGGAGCCAAGAUUCAAGAUAAGACCACAGAGACCCUAAGCCACAUCACCUCCUGGAAAUGAGUCAAACCUGGGACAAAUAAAGACAAAUGAAAAUCAAACACCUCCUGAUAUGAUCCACUAAGAAGAUUAUAACAUCAUUUCUGUUACUGUCUUGCAAAAAAAAAAAACAUAACUUGAAGUUAAAAAUAAGUGAGCUCAGACUGAUCCAAAUGGAAUGACAUUCUACAAAAUAAAUUGCUUUCACUCCAAAACUGCCAAUGUGUACAAGGAAGAAAGUCAAAGAAGAUUGUUCCAGAUAAAAGGAGACAGAAGAGCUAUGGCAACUAAAUGCAUCAAGAGUUCCUGGACCAGAAUCUGGGCUAGAGUUCAUGUUUCUCUCUCUCUCUCUCUCUCUCUCUCUCUCUCUCUCUCUCUCUCUCUCUCUCUCUCUGUGUGUGUGUGUGUGUGUGUUAAGGAAAUAAGUAGGUAAUUGGUAAAUGUGAAGUAUGGAGAUUACAUAAUAAAACUUUAUCACUCUUAA